UAAUGAUGAAAUAAAACUUAAAUUAGCUGGAAUUACCGGCAGAUUAGUGGUGGUGAAAGGGUUUUUUUUUCUGAAU
rnacentral:snoRNA from 1 species